UCCGAUACGAACGAGACUCUGGCCUAUUAAACUUGACGCUGUCAGUCUCUUGUGACUGCUGCGCGCUUCUUAGAGGGAUCAUCGGCGUCCCAGCCGAAAGAAAGGGAGCAAUAACAGGUCUGUGAUGCCCUUAGAUGUUCUGGGCUGCACGCGUGUUACACUGAAGUGGUCAGCGCGCCGUUCAACGUCCCUCUCCGUGAGGAGCGGGCAAACGUUUGAACCCUUUUCGUGAUGGGAAUUGGGGGUUGCAAUUGUCCCCCAUGAACGAGGAAUUCCAAGUAAGCGCAGGUCACUAGCCUGCGUUGAUUAAGUCCCUGCCCUUUGUA
rnacentral:rRNA from 1 species